rnacentral:tRNA from 1 species
GGUUUAUACCAGGAUAAAUUGCAAAUUUAUUUAAGCUUAAAGCAUGAACCU